CCCCUCCAGAUUCCUUCCCCAUCAGAUCUAAACACUGGUUUGAGCAGUUAUAAAAGGAGGACAAAUAAAAUGAGAGCAACAUAAAUUCUUUUGUGACUUUUAAGCUAGUUUCAAACAAAG
rnacentral:snoRNA from 1 species